rnacentral:rRNA from 1 species
UACGUAGGGACCAAGCGUUGUUCGGAUUUACUGGGCGUAAAGGGCGCGUCGGCGGUGCGGUAAGUCACUUGUGAAAUCUCUGAGCUUAACUCAGAACGGCCAAGUGAUACUGCAGUGCUAGAGUGCGGAAGGGGCAAUCGGAAUUCUUGGUGUAGCGGUGAAAUGCGUAGAUAUCAAGAGGAACACCUGAGGUGAAGACGGGUUGCUGGGCCGACACUGACGCUGGAGCGCGAAAGCCAGGGGAGCAAACGGG